UCGGGGGCAGAGUGACAGGUGGUGCAUGGUUGUCGUCAGCUCGUGUCGUGAGAUGUUGGGUUAAGUCCCGCAACGAGCGCAACCCUUGAUCUUAGUUGCCAGCAUUCAGUUGGGCACUCUAAGGUGACUGCCGGUGACAAACCGGAGGAAGGUGGGGAUGACGUCAAAUCAUCAUGCCCCUUAUGACCUGGGCUACACACGUGCUACAAUGGACAGAACAAAGGGCAGCGAAACCGCGAGGUUAAGCCAAUCCCACAAAUCUGUUCUCAGUUCGGAUCGCAGUCUGCAACUCGACUGCGUGAAGCUGGGAAUCGCUAGUAAUCGCGGAUCAGCAUGCCGCGGUGAAUACGUUCCCGG
rnacentral:rRNA from 1 species